GACGAACGCUGGCGGCGUGCUUAACACAUGCAAGUCGAACGAUGAAGCUAGAGCUUGCUCCGGUGGAUUAGUGGCGAACGGGUGAGUAACACGUGAGUAACCUGCCCCGAACUCUGGGAUAACUGCUGGAAACGGUAGCUAAUACCGGAUAUGACCAAUGAAGGCAUCUUCUGUUGGUGGAAAGAAUUUCGGUUCGGGAUGGACUCGCGGCCUAUCAGCUUGUUGGUGAGGUAACGGCUCACCAAGGCGACGACGGGUAGCCGGCCUGAGAGGGUGAUCGGCCACACUGGGACUGAGACACGGCCCAGACUCCUACGGGAGGCAGCAGUGGGGAAUAUUGCACAAUGGGCGCAAGCCUGAUGCAGCAACGCCGCGUGAGGGACGACGGCCUUCGGGUUGUAAACCUCUUUUAGUAGGGAAGAAGCGAAAGUGACGGUACCUGCAGAGAAAGCACCGGCUAACUACGUGCCAGCAGCCGCCGCUG
rnacentral:rRNA from 1 species